rnacentral:rRNA from 1 species
CGUGCUCGCAGAGCGAGAGGGCGGACGGGUAGUACACGUGGAAUCUACCUAAAGUGGAGGAUAACUAGCCGAAAGUUAGCUAAUACUGCAUGUGACCGCAAGGUCAAAGCUCUUAACUGGGCGCUUUAGGAUGAGCCUGCGGCCUAUCAGCUUGUUGGUGUGGUGAUGGCCUACCAAGGCGACGACGGGUAGCCGGCCUGAGAGGGCGACCGGUCACACUGUGACUGAGACACGGCCCAGACUCCUACGGGAGGCAGCAGUGGGGAAUAUUGCACAAUGGGCGGAAGCCUGAUGCAGCGACGCCGCGUGAGGGAUGACGGCCUUCGGGUUGUAAACCUCUUUCAGCACCGACGAAGCCUUUGUGGUGACGGUAGGUGCAGAAGAAGCGCCGGCCAACUACGUGCCAGCAGCCGCGGUAAGACGUAGGGCGCGAGCGUUGUCCGGAUUUAUUGGGCGUAAAGAGCUCGUAGGCGGCUUGUCGCGUCGACUGUGAAAACCCGCGGCUCAACUGUGGGCGUGCAGUCGAUACGGGCAGGCUGGAGUUCGGUAGGGGAGACUGGAAUUCCUGGUGUAGCGGUGAAAUGCGCAGAUAUCAGGAGGAACACCGGUGGCGAAGGCGGGUCUCUGGGCCGAUACUGACGCUGAGGAGCGAAAGCGUGGGGAGCGAACAGGAUUAGAUACCCUGGUAGUCCACGCUGUAAACGUUGGGCGCUAGGUGUGGGGGGCCUCUCCGGUUCUCUGUGCCGCAGCUAACGCAUUAAGCGCCCCGCCUGGGGAGUACGGCCGCAAGGCUAAAACUCAAAGGAAUUGACGGGGGCCCGCACAAGCGGCGGAGCAUGCGGAUUAAUUCGAUGCAACGCGAAGAACCUUACCUGGGUUUGACAUCACCGCUGUAGCCGUGGAGACACGGUGUCCUUCGGGGGCGGUGACAGGUGGUGCAUGGCUGUCGUCAGCUCGUGUCGUGAGAUGUUGGGUUAAGUCCCGCAACGAGCGCAACCCUCGUUCGAUGCUGCCAGCGAGUCAGGUCGGGGACUCAUCGAAGACUGCCGGGGUCAACUCGGAGGAAGGUGGGGAUGACGCCAAGUCAUCAUGCCCCUUAUGUCCAGGGCUUCACGCAUGCUACAAUGGCCGGUACAAACCGUGGCGAGCCCGUGAGGGGGAGCGAAUCGGAAAAAGCCGGUCUCAGUUCGGAUCGGGGUCUGCAACUCGACCCCGUGAAGUCGGAGUCGCUAGUAAUCGCAGAUCAGCAACGCUGCGGUGAUACGUUCCCGGGCAUUUACAACACC